AUCAACCCAUCCUUGAUUAUAAUUUCAGUCGAUAGAUUUAAGACAAGCAGCUCUUACCAUCCAUGCUUCUGUCCCCCAGUGACUAAGAGCAACCCACCUACGGCCAUGGAGCUUGGAACACCGUGCCUUUGUUACUUGCUCCACCCCACAACUGCCUCACAAGCAUCCCAGAGUCCAGUCAGCAGACAGCAGAAGAGACUGUCAGCAGACCACCUUGGAGGGGAUGCUUGGAGCUGCCUAACGUGUGAUUCAAAGAUGAAUUCCAUGUGUUUGGAGAAGAAGCCCUAGCCUCAACACAAAGGUUGGCCACAUUCCAGCCAAGGUAGCACGGAGUGAAGGCCCGUGGAGGGAGAGCUGGGCUUUUCUGAACUACUUCAGUACACCUUGCUGUGCCUUGGCCUGCCGUGUUUCAUCCCCAUGGCUGUCCUCAGUGAUGUGCAUGGUCACUGCUCCCUUCACCACUGAGAAGACGGGCACAGGACAGUCAGGGGAUGUGUCCAAGGUCCCACAGCAGGAAGGGCUGGAGCCAGAAUGUGGUCUGAGAGGCUGGAUAUACAAAGAGACAAUGGCAUGACCAUCUGUACAAAUGGAACUAUGGCCCACAACCUGCAGCAGCCAGCCCAGGAAGCCAACCCGUCACCUGCAGCAGCCAGGAUGGAUGCUGGCCUGCCCUCAGGUGCCCUUGUUGGAGAACAUGGGGGGCCAAAUUCCAAACGUGGCAAGAGAUAACAAAUGACUUGUCUGGUGGCUGAACCCUGAGCUGGGAGCACUGCCUGGAGAAAACUCUGAUACUCAAGUCUAGUUUUAUAUGGCUCCAAACGCCUCCACCAUGAGCUCAAGGCAGUGAGACUGACUGAAAAACCCUCUCUAUUACAGACCACAACAUUGAACCCAACAUCCCCCUAAGUAGGUUGUACUCACAUCAUUGGUCUUAUGGGGAAAUUUUAAGACCUCCCACUUGUAAGGUUUUAUAGCCCUCUAUGGAAUAUUGAAGAAAGAGUAAAAUGCAUCCAAAAAAAAAAAAAAACACUAAACUGGAUAAAUUCUAAGGCCUCUUCAGGUCUUAAGAUGGCCAUUUUCUAGGUCCUCUUGCUGCAGCAGUGAAAUCCACAAACACGGACAAGUCAGUCAGUUACGUGCCUUUCAGAGAAAACUUCUGACUUAGGAAUUCCAGCUAUUUGGCCCAACCCAUAUUAGAUUGUGUUAUAAAGACAUGGUAAAUUACAUCACGAAGGGAAGAGCAGAGGAAACAUAAUAUUCCUUCAAGACCCAUCAGCUCAGAUGUUAGCAGAACACCCCUAAGGAGGAAAACAAGAAAUUUUGGGUUUGAACUUGGUACUUCCCAGCAGCCCUGGGAGUGGGGUCAGAAGCCCUGCUGGGGGCCAAAGAACUCUGAGGAUCAAAGAUGUUGAGCAUCACCUUAGAGGCCAAAGAUCAGAACAGUGGAGGUGGCCUUUGAAGCCCAACCUGUCUUUCACCAGAGAGUGAGAACGGCCUCUAUUUCCAGGAAGCUCACUGCAGCAAUAAUCAUGAUGCUCUGAGCCUGACAAGCAAAAGAAAACUUCUUUAGGAGGAUAAAAGGGAGAUGAAGAAACAGAAAACACAUCAGCUCUCCAUCCAGAUUACAGAAAGCAGAAAACAUCCUGAAGUGAAUAACAUAGGAAUCGCUCUUUUUCCCCCCUGAGAUAGCAGGUUACUUAUGAGAAACAAGCUUGAAAUCUCUGCACCUGGACCAGCUUCCAGAGGCUUUUGUCCUGACCAGCUGGCUUUGGGGAAGUAAAGGAAACCAGAGAAGAAGAGGCUGAAAGAAUUGGUUUCCACCGUGACCUUUGAACCCUCGGGCGAGUUGUCAGCCUCACUGAGGAUGAGUGUACUCCAUAUCAAGUGAGGUCACUUUACUCGCAAGCUUGUUGUGAGGACUGAAUGAAACCUUUUCUUUUUUCUUGGAGUUUCAGAGCAACGUCCCUGAGCCCAGCCCCACACUGGCUUGAGCCCUGUCGUCGGUCAAGACACGGUGCUUUCUCCCCUCCCCUCUGCACUCCAGCUUACUCUGCAGUCAGGAGGUGGCACCACGAUCCCCUUUAAGACUUUGCCACUUGGGCCAGCUGCGCCCCUGUGAAAUUCCCUGUUUCUAUUGCAGGCCACAAGGACGAGCUGAGAAAUGGCUUCCAGUCACCAUCUAGAUUAGAAAGCCUAUAUUUCAAAUAUAGAUAUAUCAAUUAUGCCUGUAAAAAGACAUUAAAUCCCACAGGGCUGUAAUUCCUAGACUCUACGAAUUUCAUCUUGCACCAAAUUUUAUUAUUUCAUUUAUAAUUCGGAUUCUUCAAAUCUAAGAGUGCCUGGCUCAAAAUUAAAAUACCUACAACUAUGCCAAAACUGGACUCUUUAAUUGCCUUACUGGAACCAGUAGCUGAUUCAAAGCAAAACGAAACAAAAUUCCUCCUUUCUCUGAUUUAGUGAAUCAAUGAUCUAACUGAACUCAUUUUUGGACUGAGUUUGCGGCACUUGCAGCCCUGAGGGACACAUUCCCCCACCACACUGAGCCUGCACUCCCAUCAAUGCAAAUGAACAUUUUGCUUAUUCAGAUUGGGGGGGUGAAGGAAGUCACAAAAGGGUUAAUACAUAUGGCAUUUCAUUGUAAUAUGUACUCACUACUAACUAAAUUAAAAGAGAUGUGAGUUAUUAAAAACUCCAUCUUAAGAAAGUAACAGAAAUCAGAGUUCAGAUUCGUUGUUACUGAGUUUCCAACCAACACCUGUGAGUUAAACCUACGGCCACCCUGAAAACGGUUCAUAUUUUCAAAAGCUUCAUCGAAGAUGAGCUGCACUAAAGAUUCAUAUUACAUAUCAUGCUGCAAUAAGAAAAUCAAAUAAGGCCUUUCCAUAUUCAAUAAUAAAGUUUAAAGAAAAGUAAUAUUUGUUUAGCCAGUUAGCCAGAAAUUAGAUGUAUCAGAAUACAUCAUUCUUUGAGCAUUUUAGAAAAAUCAGGGUAUUUCUACAUUGUGUUUUUCUUUGUAAGCCCUCAAAAAAUAUAGAGAAUAUUCUUGAAAUUAUAGUGUUUGUCUUCUGGAACAAAAAAUACUAAUCAAGGAAAUCUACAAAUUUAAUGGUUUAUUGAGUUUCCACAGGAAACACUGUGUGAGGAGGCUGAGGCUUAGAAGUUCAAAAACUAAAAGGAUUGUUAUGAUUUCGAUAAUAAUAUCUUAUGUCUGCACAACAUCUGAACUCAGUUCUUUCCUGAGGUUCUCUCAUUCUUCAAGCAGCCUCUGAGGUAGGCAGGAGCGAUAAUAUCGGUUCCAUUUUACAGUUAGGAAAACAGAGGCUCACAGAGUCCCAAGGCUUAGCGGGAACGUCCGCCCUGCUCUCUGGGUUCUGAAGAACACAGUCGUGAAGGAUGUAAGCCAUUUCACAUUUUAAGACGAAACAGAUAACUUGUGCUAAAUGCAUGUCCCAGCCCUGCCCUGAGGGCAGGUGGGCACCCGGUGGCCUGCAGGGCUGACAAUUGUGAGAGGGAAGCAAGCUGGGGAGGCUCCCUGGAGAGCUGGUGCAGAGCCUGGAGGACAAGGAAGAUGUGGGGCACGCGGAGAAGGAGACAAGGAAGUCGAAGCGGGUAAGGGCGCAGGAGGCCGGAUUUCCUGUGAUGCUGGACACGUGGCAGGACGCGGGGAGAGCCCGUGGUGCUGCAGGGUGGCAUGGGAAGCCCUGGAAGGUUGCCUGCUCUGCAGCAGCUGGAGGGAGCAAGACAGCCCUGUGGCUGGCAGGGUCAGAAGAAAUCUAAGAGGACUAAGAGCCAUAGCCUGCCCUCGAACUCAGGUGUGCUGUCUCCGAUUCAGGCGAAACUCAGGGUUCACCACUGAGAGACGUUUCACCCGGCCCUCAUGGUGCCCUCCUCAGGGUUCCACGGAAUCCUAACGCACGCUCCUCGUUUCAUUUUAGGCUUUGCAUUAAUUUCAACCUGUUCAAGACAUGAAAGCACUAGAGAGCUGAAAAAUUUUUGGAGGACUCCUUUCAAAUGUCAUGCUGCCAAGGCUCCCUGCUGCCUUUUCCAUAUUUAAUCAAAAGCACUCGGUUGCCUGCUUUCAAAGUCGUUAGUGCCAAGCCUCCUGCCCAACAGCCCUAAGCUGCAGCCCUUCAAAGUGCUGGGUGGACUGACCUCAGCCAAUCAGCCAAUCAGACAGCGUUGAGAAAUUCAGACCUUAAUGCUGAGUGAAUGCCCAGUGUCAUUUGUAGCUGAAUGCAGCCGUGUAAUGGGUGCUGGGUGAUUAUCUGUAAUGUAUGGAAAGCAAGAUGAGAAUCUCUUUUUACUCCUUCCCUUACUGUUUUCUAAUCUAAUUGACAAAGAGCUCAGGGAAGUGCAGUAAAAAUUCUUCUCUAGUCAGUGGGUGAAUUUUUUUUUUUUUAAUGUGAG
rnacentral:lncRNA from 1 species